rnacentral:tRNA from 6 species
UGGCCCGUUGGUCAAGCGGUUAAGACACCGCCCUUUCACGGCGGUAACACGGGUUCGAAUCCCGUACGGGUCA